rnacentral:misc_RNA from 1 species
AGAAUGUCUGAGAAUAAAAUGACCUGUCCCAUUGAACAAUAAGGAAAACUGAGAAUAGACAGCAGGAAAUGUUUCUCAUAAAGUAAUGAAACUUCAAAUUUAUGCUGUCAAUUUUGUUUGCAGUGUUAGGCAAGAGAUGGUUAUUUUAUAGUAAUCAAAAUUGAAAAAUCUAAAGAUACUAGGCAAGCUUGCAGACAACAAAAGUAAGAAAUAAAAUUCUAGAUAACUGAUAUCUAAAAUUGGAUAAAUUUUAACAACUGUCGCUGAAAUUAUAUAGUUGUAACAUUACAGUCAAAGAACUUUAAAAUAUAACAUAAAACCCCCUAA